GAUGAACGCUGGCGGCGUGCUUAACACAUGCAAGUCGAACGAGAAAUGAUAUUACGAUCUCUUCGGAGUGACGGUUUUAUUUCGAGUGGCGGACGGGUGAGUAACGCGUGAGCAACCUGCCCUAUGCCGGGGGAUACCAGUUGGAAACGACUGUUAAUACCGCAUAAGCGCACGAUAAGACAUCUUGUUGUGUGAAAAACUCCGGUGGUAUAGGAUGGGCUCGCGUAUGAUUAGCCAGUUGGCGGGGUAAAGGCCCACCAAAGCGACGAUCAUUAGCCGACCUGAGAGGGCGACCGGCCACAUUGGGACUGAGACACGGCCCAAACUCCUACGGGAGGCAGCAGUGGGGAAUAUUGCACAAUGGGCGAAAGCCUGAUGCAGCGACGCCGCGUGAGUGAGGAAGUAUUUCGGUAUGUAAAGCUCUAUCAGCAGGGAAGAAAGAAAUGACGUACCUGAUAAGAGUCCGG
rnacentral:rRNA from 1 species